GCAUUUGUGGUGCAAUGGUUAAGUGCUUGGCUGCUAACUGAAAGGUUGGUGGUUUGAACCCACCCAACUGCU
rnacentral:tRNA from 1 species